GGGGAUAACUACUGGAAACGGUAGCUAAUACCGCAUAACGUCGCAAGACCAAAGAGGGGGACCUUCGGGCCUCUUGCCAUCGGAUGUGCCCAGAUGGGAUUAGCUUGUUGGUGGGGUAACGGCUCACCAAGGCGACGAUCCCUAGCUGGUCUGAGAGGAUGACCAGCCACACUGGAACUGAGACACGGUCCAGACUCCUACGGGAGGCAGCAGUGGGGAAUAUUGCACAAUGGGCGCAAGCCUGAUGCAGCCAUGCCGCGUGUAUGAAGAAGGCCUUCGGGUUGUAAAGUACUUUCAGCGGGGAGGAAGGGAGUAAAGUUAAUACCUUUGCUCAUUGACGUUACCCGCAGAAGAAGCACCGGCUAACUCCGUGCCAGCAGCCGCGGUAAUACGGAGGGUGCAAGCGUUAAUCGGAAUUACUGGGCGUAAAGCGCACGCAGGCGGUUUGUUAAGUCAGAUGUGAAAUCCCCGGGCUCAACCUGGGAACUGCAUCUGAUACUGGCAAGCUUGAGUCUCGUAGAGGGGGGUAGAAUUCCAGGUGUAGCGGUGAAAUGCGUAGAGAUCUGGAGGAAUACCGGUGGCGAAGGCGGCCCCCUGGACGAAGACUGGCGCUCAGGUGCGAAAGCGUGGGGAGCAAACAGGAUUAGAUACCCU
rnacentral:rRNA from 1 species